AACCUGGCAUGCAGAGAUCUGUGGCCCCCUAAGGGCAUGUUAAUGUCAACUCAGUGUUAAUGUGCAGAGUCCCCAAAAGGCCAAGUGGGAGAUGAACAAGGUGAACAAAAACUGUUUGAGGAGAGGAAAGAAUUUGGAGAGACUAUCACUUAAGAACCGCAUCUGAUAACAGCACUGAGAAGACUAUUCCAACAACAAAUGAGAAAAUUCAGAAACCUGAAAAAGAUGAAAAAGAUGUGCAGCAUAGAAGCCCAUAUAUUUCUCCAGGCAUAACCACAUGUGUGACAACACUCUCCAGAAGCAGAAGUGAAUUCCUCUUACAAUACAUCCAAGGAGCGUUGACUGAGGGAGAUUUCACUUUCUGUGGACCGCAGCCAUCUCUUCAGUUUCUCCCUGUUACUGAAAUCUCAUUGUUACACUCAGAAUCUGUCUUCUCCCGGGGCUUACUUUCAAAGCAUUUCACUGCCUGUGACAAGACAGACUGGAGACGAUGCUGGGAGGCUGGGGAAGGUGGCAUGCUGAAGAAAAAUGCAAGGUAUGGUCCCUGCCCUAAAGAAAUAUAACCCAUCAAGAAAAGAAAGCAGCAUGAACUUCUUAAUGAAGUGUUUCCCCACUGUGGUCAUGGAUUAGUGAGGUGUCACAGACUUCUUUCAAGGUGCGAUUCCUACAUGCACCAAAUAACGUCAGCAGACUGAAUAAAGGCUUUGUAACAAGAGCCAUAACACUGUCGUUUGGGAAAUGAAACAGAUUGUAGGAGUGAGCUGAUUGAGAAGAAAAUAUGUAGUUUGAUUGUGGAGAACUUG
rnacentral:lncRNA from 1 species